rnacentral:piRNA from 1 species
UUUUCUCUAAAAUUCCUUUCCAGGGGA